rnacentral:ncRNA from 1 species
AAUUGAAUAAGCAGUUCGUAUAACCCUGAUAAUCGGUUCGGGGGCUCUACUAGGAUCCGUAAAAACCUAACUACGAACGCAAU